rnacentral:rRNA from 1 species
CCCUUAGACGUUCUGGGCCGCACGCGCGCUACACUGACCAGUGCAACAAGCAUCCGUCCUUGGCCGACAGGCUCGGGCAAUCUUUGAACGCUGGUCGUGAUGGGGAUAGACUUUUGCAAUUUUUGGUCUUCAACGAGGAAUUCCUAGUAAACGCAAGUCAUCAACUUACAUUGAUUACGUCCCUGCCCUUUGUACACACCGCCCGUCGCACCUACCGAUUGAAUGGUCCGGUGAAGCCUCCGGAUUGGCGCGCACCUCGGUGCCGCCGAGAAGUUGGCUAAACCUUACCAUUUAGAGGAAGGUGAAGUCGUAACA